GACGAACGCUGGCGGCGUGCUUAACACAUGCAAGUCGAACGGAAAGGCCCCUUUGGGGGUACUCGAGUGGCGAACGGGUGAGUAACACGUGAGUAACCUGCCCUUGACUUCGGGAUAACUUCAGGAAACUGGGGCUAAUACCGGAUAGGAAUCCUUGCUGCAUGGUGGGGGUUGGAAAGCUUCGGCGGUUUUGGAUGGACUCGCGGCCUAUCAGCUUGUUGGUGGGGUAGUGGCUUACCAAGGCUUUGACGGGUAGCCGGCCUGAGAGGGCGACCGGCCACAGUGGGACUGAGAUACGGCCCAGACUCCUACGGGAGGCAGCAGUGGGGAAUAUUGCACAAUGGGCGGAAGCCUGAUGCAGCAACGCCGCGUGCGGGAGGACGGCCUUCGGGUUGUAAACCGCUUUCAGCAGGGGCGAAGCUUGUGGUGACGGUACCUGCAGAAGAAGCACCGGCUAACUACGUG
rnacentral:rRNA from 1 species